GGAGUUGUGGCUCAGUGGUAGAGUGCUUGCCUAGCAUGUGUGAGGCACUGUUUGAUUCUCAGCACCA
rnacentral:tRNA from 1 species